CUUGCUAAGGCUGAUGGCGACCGGCGCACGGGUGAGUAACACGUAUCCAACCUGCCGUCUACUCUUGGCCAGCCUUCUGAAAGGAAGAUUAAUCCAGGAUGGCAUCAUGAGUUCACAUGUCCGCAUGAUUAAAGGUAUUUUCCGGUAGACGAUGGGGAUGCGUUCCAUUAGAUAGUAGGCGGGGUAACGGCCCACCUAGUCAACGAUGGAUAGGGGUUCUGAGAGGAAGGUCCCCCACAUUGGAACUGAGACACGGUCCAAACUCCUACGGGAGGCAGCAGUGAGGAAUAUUGGUCAAUGGGCGAUGGCCUGAACCAGCCAAGUAGCGUGAAGGAUGACUGCCCUAUGGGUUGUAAACUUCUUUUAUAAAGGAAUAAAGUCGGGUAUGCAUACCCGUUUGCAUGUACUUUAUGAAUAAGGAUCGGCUAACUCCGUGCCAGCAGCCGCGGUAAUACGGAGGAUCCGAGCGUUAUCCGGAUUUAUUGGGUUUAAAGGGAGCGUAGAUGGAUGUUUAAGUCAGUUGUGAAAGUUUGCGGCUCAACCGUAAAAUUGCAGUUGAUACUGGAUGUCUUGAGUGCAGUUGAGGCAGGCGGAAUUCGUGGUGUAGCGGUGAAAUGCUUAGAUAUCACGAAGAACUCCGAUUGCGAA
rnacentral:rRNA from 1 species